AGACAUUAUGGUGGACUUAAAUGUUAUUCUUGAAAUAAAGACUAAAGAUUUUCACUUGGAAGCAAUAUUCCAGGUAAGGGAGGUGAUUCACUAGGAAUGCUUAAGUACCAAGCCUUAUCCUUGCCAAAUANGCUUCUAGCUACUUACUAGAGUCCUUAGAUCAAAAUCACUCUUAAAUCCACUUAAGUGUUAAAGACAACAAAGAAAACACAAAGCAAAGAAAGACAACAAGGAUUGGGACUCUAAAUUCGGACUCUAGGCACGCUCCUAGUCCUUGAAUGGUAAAACAAUGAAAGCUUAAUAAAAUAAAGAUGGAAAAGUAAAGGUGAGGUCUCCUAAGGUGAAGCUUAGACUUUGGAUCUAAGACACACUCACCGACUACUCAAUUUUAGGUUGUGAGACUUCAUGAGUCUAGUUAACAAAUGAGGGAAGAGCACUUGUGAACUCUACCACCUCACUUGCUUGAAUUUGCCCCUUUACAAGCAAAAACCAAAAACAACAAUUUACACAAUUUUCAGCAAGGAAAAGUAACAAUGGAAGGGGUUUAGAAGUGCAACUUUGGCUUCUCUUCAAAGGAAACUUGUUGGCACUAGAUGUAGCCACACAAAGCUCACAGUUGCAGUCAAAAAGGAGGCUAACUCAUGGUGUUUCACACUUUGUCCAGCAGUUGCUAUUGCUGCAACAAAGUCUGGAGCAAUUUCUGCAUUGUCGUGAGAAAUCUGCAACACCAAGCCACCCUUCAACCAACUUUAACCUCACCAAUCUUCUUUCUAAUAUGCUACCAACAAUAGGCAAUUGCUUGAAGCUUUUCU
rnacentral:lncRNA from 1 species